rnacentral:rRNA from 2 species
CGCGACCCCAGGUCAAGCGGGGCUACCCGCUGAGUUUAAGCAUAUCAAUAAGCGGAGGAAAA